CCCUUAGAUGUUCUGGGCUGCACACGUGCUACACUGGCAGGUUCAGCGAGCUUCAUGCCCUGAUCUGAAAGGAAUGGGAAAUCUUUUCAAAACCUGCCGUGCUUGGGAUAGAUGUUUGCAAUUAUUCAUCUUCAACGAGGAUUGCCUUGUAAGCGCACGUCAUCAGCGUGCAUUGAAUACGACCCUGUAUUCUGUACACACCGCCCGUCGCUCCUACCGAUUGAAGUUUUCGGUGAGUUGACAGGAGGAUUUUUUUGAAACUGGUUCGCCAGUGGAUGUUAGAUCCAAAUGCCAACGAAUCGAUGGCUUUAGAGGAAGGAGAAGUCGUAACA
rnacentral:rRNA from 1 species